AACCUUACCAGGUCUUGACAUCCCGAUGCUAUUUCUAGAGAUAGAAAGUUACUUCGGUACAUCGGUGACAGGUGGUGCAUGGUUGUCGUCAGCUCGUGUCGUGAGAUGUUGGGUUAAGUCCCGCAACGAGCGCAACCCCUAUUGUUAGUUGCCAUCAUUCAGUUGGGCACUCUAGCGAGACUGCCGGUAAUAAACCGGAGGAAGGUGGGGAUGACGUCAAAUCAUCAUGCCCCCUUAUGACCUGGGCUACACACGUGCUACAAUGGUUGGUACAACGAGUUGCGAGUCGGUGACGGCGAGCUAAUCUCUUAAAGCCAAUCUCAGUUCGGAUUGUAGGCUGCAACUCGCCUACAUGAAGUCGGAAUCGCUAGUAAUCGCGGAUCAGCACGCCGCGGUGAAUACGUUCCCGGGCCUU
rnacentral:rRNA from 1 species